ensembl:snoRNA
UUCCAGAGUCAAAGAGGAAGUUUCCCAGUUCUGCUACUGACUUUAAGUGACAAUAAAAUAUGUCUGAGGGGA